AGUGAACGCUGGCGGUAGGCCUAACACAUGCAAGUCGAACGGCAGCACAGUAAGAGCUUGCUCUUACGGGUGGCGAGUGGCGGACGGGUGAGGAAUACAUCGGAAUCUACUUUUUCGUGGGGAUAACGUAGGGAAACUUACGCUAAUACCGCAUACGACCUACGGGUGAAAGCAGGGGAUCUUCGGACCUUGCGCGAUUGAAUGAGCCGAUGUCGGAUUAGCUAGUUGGCGGGGUAAAGGCCCACCAAGGCGACGAUCCGUAGCUGGUCUGAGAGGAUGAUCAGCCACACUGGAACUGAGACACGGUCCAGACUCCUACGGGAGGCAGCAGUGGGGAAUAUUGGACAAUGGGCACAAGCCUGAUCCAGCCAUACCGCGUGGGUGAAGAAGGCCUUCGGGUUGUAAAGCCCUUUUGUUGGGAAAGAAAAGCAGCAGGUUAAUACCCCGCUGUUCUGACGGUACCCAAAGAAUAAGCACCGGCUAACUUCGUG
rnacentral:rRNA from 1 species